AGGAUGAACGCUGGCGGCGUGCUUAACACAUGCAAGUCGAACGAUGAAGGCUGGAGCUUGCUCUGGCUGGAUUAGUGGCGAACGGGUGAGUAACACGUGAGUAACCUGCCCCAGACUCUGGGAUAAGCGCUGGAAACGGCGUCUAAUACCGGAUACGAGCUUCCACCGCAUGGUGAGGAGCUGGAAAGAAUUUCGGUCUGGGAUGGACUCGCGGCCUAUCAGCUUGUUGGUGAGGUAAUGGCUCACCAAGGCGACGACGGGUAGCCGGCCUGAGAGGGUGACCGGCCACACUGGGACUGAGACACGGCCCAGACUCCUACGGGAGGCAGCAGUGGGGAAUAUUGCACAAUGGGCGCAAGCCUGAUGCAGCAACGCCGCGUGAGGACGAAGGCCUUCGGUUGUAACUCUUUAGUAGGAAGAAGACGAGGUGUUAUUCUACUUCAGUGACGGUACCUAGACAGAAAAGCAACCGGACCUAACUACGUGACC
rnacentral:rRNA from 1 species